rnacentral:rRNA from 1 species
AUUGAACGCUGGCGGCAUGCCUAACACAUGCAAGUCGAACGGGGCAGCAAUGCCUAGUGGCGGACGGGUGAGGAAUACGUAGGAAUCUGCCCUUAAGUGGGGGAUAACCAGGGGAAACCCUGACUAAUACCGCAUGAUCUCUUCGGAGCAAAGAGGGGGACCGCAAGGCCUCUCGCUUCUGGAUGAGCCUACGUCUGAUUAGCUAGUUGGUAGGGUAAAGGCCUACCAAGGCGACGAUCAGUAACUGGUCUGAGAGGAUGAUCAGUCACACCGGAACUGAGACACGGUCCGGACUCCUACGGGAGGCAGCAGUGGGGAAUAUUGGACAAUGGGCGCAAGCCUGAUCCAGCAAUGCCGCGUGUGUGAAGAAGGCCUUCGGGUUGUAAAGCACUUUAGCCUGGAAAGAAAAAACUUUGGUUAACACCCAAAGCCUUGACGGUACCAGGAGAAUAAGCACCGGCUAACUCUGUGCCAGCCGCCGCAGUAA